AUGCAUGUUAACAUGUUUGGUUUAAUUGAUUUGAUAAGGCUUUGGGGCUUACUUAAGAGUUUAUCUUUGUUCUUGAGUCCUUCAAAUCUUGUAUUGUUCCACUAUAGCCUUGUCUUUGUAUUGGGAAGUCAUCUGUGUGCAAGUGCUAUUAUGUGUGGCUUUAAUCCAAAAGAUGUGAACGCUAUAUUGACUUCAUUAUGUCAAGUGUUAGUUUCUUGUUUGGUCAGGCCCCUUGUGAUACGGUGGCAGAACCGGCUGUUAAUACUGGUUUUGCGUUUGUGUUUGCAAAUGUUGCGGUAA